GCCUGGGUGGCUUGGUCGGUUAAGCGUCCGACUUCGGCUCAGGUCAUGAUCUCACGGUCCGUGAGUUCGAGCCCCGCUUCGGGCU
rnacentral:tRNA from 1 species